rnacentral:lncRNA from 1 species
GAUUAAGUGUCACACCGUCGUCCCCAAAAAUGCGCAGAUAAGAAUGUGAUGAGCUUCUCCAACAAUGAAUAGUUAAAAGAGAAGCCACAUCAACCGGCAAGUGAAUUACCUGCACGGCUUGUUAUCUGCUACACAAAAACAUGUGCUUUUCGACUUAGCGAUGAAUGCAUAGAGGCACUGUAUUUCAGCGUUCACCGAAGCUGUGAAGCGAUCUCCAUGGAGGUAGAGGCUGCUGCAGCCCAUGCAAAUACUACCUGUCGCCCCUUUCCUGAUCGCCAAUCAAAGAGUGGGAUCUAUCCUUCAACUUCCAUCCUAGUGCAGCAUUGACUCUACUGCCCCAAAUUUUGUUGUCCCAAGAUAGAUCAGAAUAGUACAUUCCGUCCGUCCAUUGUUCAUCCAUAAAAGAUGAACUUUGCUACAACCCUCUCAAUUUAGGGACUAGGGUUGAUCCAGUGAUGACUGUGCGAGAUUGAAGUGAAUAUUCGUGGAAGUCAGCUGCCAAGCCUACCAAAGAAGCUGAUAAAUUAAUUUAAUUGGUAGAGUAAAAUACUGUGCCGAACCUGCAAAGAAAAGGUGUCAAUUUAUGUUUUUCCAAUCAAUCCAUCAGGAAAUAUUAUAUUAACGAGUCAGAGCGGAAAAAAGGCAGCAUUGAGCAUGAAUACAGUUCAUUUUUGUAGCACAUAUAAAUUCUUCAGAAAGUAAAGCAAAGGUGUACCGUUGGCAAGAAAAGCCUCAGCAUGUUUAAGGGUUCUGUAAUUUCUCGCCAGAGUGCACUUGGCGAUUAGAGUGUUAAUAGGAACAAGAAGUUUAGAUGCUGAACCUUUAAGAGUAAGAGUUUAUGUGGCAUGUGAUGUUCCCAUAUGGAUUUAUUAAGUUCAUCCAUAAUGGGUAGUUUGGAAAGCUAUACUUCACAUUACUAGACAGUAUUAAAGAAGACAUAAUGAUCUAAAAUAUUGUCUAUUUAAUUCUCCAACCCAAUACUACAUACCAAGCAUGCAGUAAGAGUUCAUAGGAAAGUUACUGAGCAAAUAGGCGCAGAGAUUGAAAAACA